CACUCUCAAGAGGAGAAGAGAAGAUAGAAAAGUAGUCCUGCAAUGUGACUCCGUUCUAAACUUGGCACCAGUGAGAAUGGGGGAAGCAGAGACAUGCAGAGAAAGCCAGAAAUGCGGGGGACCGCUCAGUACGUGUUUUUGGCUGGAGUGAAUGAGUUGAAAGAGAAAAACUGGAGCAAAUGAAGAGAACCAGGGAAAAUAACCUAUCAGCGCCCUGUACUCGGAAGUCAUGCUUCAAGCGACAGGAAGGGACUACCUGCCAUCGAGAGUGGUCACAGAGAACGUGUUCACCAGAUCCAUGCUCACCUUUCAUGCCAACCCGGCUUCAUGGGGAAAUUAGUUUGAUGUCUUGAGGCCUUCCAGACCUUGCUCCACCUCCACCACCAGGUCUCCAGUCCUGAGCCACAUGCUGCCAUUUUUGUCUCAGAAGCACCCCUCUUCCAGGUGGAAGAUUGAAGGUCUGAAGAGUGGGAAGUCCCAGGAACAGGCAAUUCCAGGAAGAUAUGAGGAAAAUCAAGAAAGAGAAGGAAACUGAAGCUAGUGGGAAGUGCUUCAAGUUGGAGAUGAUGCUGAGAUGGCCAAAAAGUGAGAGGUGGAAAACAUUUGGAGUGAGUUAAGGAGAGAACGCGAGGCAAGGAAGUGAAGCUGAUUUUCAAACCUGAGUGAAUGAAUGAAUAAACGGACCUGGGAAUUGAUCAACAAUGGCUGCUGCAUCGCGUAAAGAGAGACGACCAGGUGUCAGCUGGCUGUCAACUGAUCUAGGAUGGUCUUGGAGGGACAACGAGGGCAACCCCAUGUCUCUUCUUUAGCAGGCCAGCCCAGACAUGCUUUCAUGGCUGAAUAGGAGCCAGCCUGGUCAUGGGAGCAAUUUUCAAGCAAGUCUCUGCUUGAAUGUCACAUUUACUAACAUCCUGUUGGCCAAGGUGCAUCCCAUGGCUGAGCCCAGUGUCCAAGUGAAAGGGCACCAGGAAGUUCCCUGCAGCGCUGUGGGUACUGGAAGAAUGGGCGCCAUCUUCAUGACAGCAGCAUGCUAAGUUACAGAAAGUGAGCGGCGUUCUAGACAAAGCAAGCUCAUCUGUGAAUGGAUCAUGGCGGAAACCUGACCACAGUAUGUUGGGAUUUAUGUGUUUGACAUUUUCUAUAAUAGAAAGGCAGAUCAAAAAUAAGGCUCCAGUGCCUCCACUCAGGAAAGCUCAAGUAGGUUUUCUUGAGAAUUUUUAGUGGAUACCCUGUUUUGCAAUGUUCUUUUCUUUUUCUAAUGAGGCUGAACCAGAUUGUAAUGCCAUGAGGCUUCUACAUGGAGAGCUGGACGUUGGUGAGGAUUGGGUGGAGAAGGCCGGGUGGAGGCUGGGCCUGGGAGAAGAGCAGCAGAUUCCCAAACGUACUGGUAUUGGUGCAUACUCUGAGA
rnacentral:lncRNA from 1 species